rnacentral:rRNA from 1 species
GAUUAUGGCUCAGAACGAACGCUGGCGGCAUGCCUAACACAUGCAAGUCGAACGAGACCUUCGGGUCUAGUGGCGCACGGGUGCGUAACGCGUGGGAAUCUGCCCUUCGGUUGGGAAUAACACAGAGAAAUUUGUGCUAAUACCUUAUAAUGUCUUCGGACCAAAGAUUUAUCGCCGAGGGAUGAGCCCGCGUAGGAUUAGGUAGUUGGUGGGGUAAUGGCCUACCAAGCCGACGAUCCUUAGCUGGUCUGAGAGGAUGAUCAGCCACACUGGGACUGAGACACGGCCCAGACUCCUACGGGAGGCAGCAGUGGGGAAUAUUGGACAAUGGGCGAAAGCCUGAUCCAGCCAAUGCCGCGUGAGUGAUGAAGGCCUUAGGGUUGUAAAGCUCUUUUACCCGGGAUGAUAAUGACAGUACCGGGAGAAUAAGCUCCGGCUAACUCCGUGCCAGCAGCUGC